rnacentral:rRNA from 1 species
CCUACGGGUGGCAGCAGUAGGGAAUAUUGCUCAAUGGGGGAAACCCUGAUGCAGCAACGCCGCGUGGAUGAUGAAGGUUUUCGGGUUGUAAAGUCCUUUUGUUAGAGAAGAUAAUGACGGUAUCUGACGAAUAAGCACCGGCUAACUCCGUGCCAGCAGCCGCGGUAAUACGUAGGGUGCAAGCGUUACCCGGAUUCACUGGGCGUAAAGGGCGCGUAGGCGGGUGAGCAAGUCAGAUGUGAAAGCCUGUGGCUUAACCAUAGAACUGCAUUUGAAACUGUUAUUCUAGAGUAUGGGAGAGGUAGGUGGAAUUCUUAGUGGAGGGGUGAAAGACGUAGAUAUUAAGAGGAAUA